rnacentral:rRNA from 1 species
UACGAAGGGGGCUAGCGUUGUUCGGAUUUACUGGGCGUAAAGCGCACGUAGGCGGAUCGUUAAGUCGGGGGUGAAAUCCUUGAGCUCAACUCCAGAACUGCCUUCGAUACUGGCGAUCUUGAGUCCGGGAGAGGUGAGUGGAACUGCGAGUGUAGAGGUGAAAUUCGUAGAUAUUCGCAAGAACACCAGUGGCGAAGGCGGCUCACUGGCCCGGUACUGACGCUGAGGUGCGAAAGCGUGGGGAGCAAACAGG